GCCUGGCAGUCCCCCACGUCUCAGCACUGUCCAUUUUGGCAAAAGUGCGCCUUCCAGUCCCCCAAGCCUAGACAGUGUCUACUUUGGUGGAGUUAUGCCUGGCAGUCCUCCUAGUCUUCAAACUGUCUUCCGAAAUGGAAUUCCGCCUUCCAGUCCCCCAAGUCUUGACACUGUCUUCUUUGGUGGAAAUAAG